rnacentral:rRNA from 1 species
AGUAGUCAUAUGCUUGUCUCAAAGAUUAAGCCAUGCAUGUCUAAGUAUAAACUUUUAUACUGUGAAACUGCGAAUGGCUCAUUAAAUCAGUUAUCGUCUAUUUGAUUGUGCCCCUACUACAUGGAUAACCGUAGUAAUUCUAGAGCUAAUACAUGCGAAAAGUCCCGACUUCUGGAAGGGAUGUAUUUAUUAGAUUAAAAACCAAUGCGUUUAACGACGCUCUAAGGUGAUUCAUAAUAACUGUUCGAAUCGCAUGGCCUUUGUGCCGGCGAUGUUUCAUUCGAGUUUCUGCCCUAUCAACUUUCGAUGGUAAGGUAUUGGCUUACCAUGGUAACAACGGGUAACAGAGAAUUAGGGUUCGAUUCCGGAGAGGGAGCCCGAGAAACGGCUACCACAUCCAAGGAAGGCAGCAGGCGCGCAAAUUACCCAAUCCCGAUUCGGGGAGGUAGUGACAAUAAAUAACGUUGCAGGCGCCAACGGCUUCUGCAGUCGGAAUGAGUACAAUAUAACACCCUUAACGAGGAACAAUUGGAGGGC